rnacentral:rRNA from 1 species
AGAGUUUGAUCUGGCUCAGAUUGAACGCUGGCGGCAGGCCUAACACAUGCAAGUCGAGCGGUAGCACAGAGAGCUUGCUCUCGGGUGACGAGCGGCGGACGGGUGAGUAAUGUCUGGGAAACUGCCCGAUGGAGGGGGAUAACUACUGGAAACGGUAGCUAAUACCGCAUAACGUCGCAAGACCAAAGAGGGGGACCUUCGGGCCUCUUGCCAUCGGAUGUGCCCAGAUGGGAUUAGCUAGUAGGUGGGGUAACGGCUCACCUAGGCGACGAUCCCUAGCUGGUCUGAGAGGAUGACCAGCCACACUGGAACUGAGACACGGUCCAGACUCCUACGGGAGGCAGCAGUGGGGAAUAUUGCACAAUGGGCGCAAGCCUGAUGCAGCCAUGCCGCGUGUAUGAAGAAGGCCUUCGGGUUGUAAAGUACUUUCAGCGGGGAGGAAGGUGUUGAGGUUAAUAACCUCAGCAAUUGACGUUACCCGCAGAAGAAGCACCGGCUAACUCCGUGCCAGCAGCCGCGGUAAUACGGAGGGUGCAAGCGUUAAUCGGAAUUACUGGGCGUAAAGCGCACGCAGGCGGUCUGUCAAGUCGGAUGUGAAAUCCCCGGGCUCAACCUGGGAACUGCAUUCGAAACUGGCAGGCUUGAGUCUCGUAGAGGGGGGUAGAAUUCCAGGUGUAGCGGUGAAAUGCGUAGAGAUCUGGAGGAAUACCGGUGGCGAAGGCGGCCCCCUGGACGAAGACUGACGCUCAGGUGCGAAAGCGUGGGGAGCAAACAGGAUUAGAUACCCUGGUAGUCCACGCCGUAAACGAUGUCUAUUUGGAGGUUGUGCCCUUGAGGCGUGGCUUCCGGAGCUAACGCGUUAAAUAGACCGCCUGGGGAGUACGGCCGCAAGGUUAAAACUCAAAUGAAUUGACGGGGGCCCGCACAAGCGGUGGAGCAUGUGGUUUAAUUCGAUGCAACGCGAAGAACCUUACCUACUCUUGACAUCCAGAGAACUUUCCAGAGAUGGAUUGGUGCCUUCGGGAACUCUGAGACAGGUGCUGCAUGGCUGUCGUCAGCUCGUGUUGUGAAAUGUUGGGUUAAGUCCCGCAACGAGCGCAACCCUUAUCCUUUGUUGCCAGCGGUUAGGCCGGGAACUCAAAGGAGACUGCCAGUGAUAAACUGGAGGAAGGUGGGGAUGACGUCAAGUCAUCAUGGCCCUUACGAGUAGGGCUACACACGUGCUACAAUGGCGUAUACAAAGAGAAGCGACCUCGCGAGAGCAAGCGGACCUCAUAAAGUACGUCGUAGUCCGGAUUGGAGUCUGCAACUCGACUCCAUGAAGUCGGAAUCGCUAGUAAUCGUGGAUCAGAAUGCUACGGUGAAUACGUUCCCGGGCCUUGUACACACCGCCCGUCACACCAUGGGAGUGGGUUGCAAAAGAAGUAGGUAGCUUAACCUUCGGGAGGGCGCUUACCACUUUGUGAUUCAUGACUGGGGUGAAGUCGUAACAAGGUAACCGUA